GCCCUGACGCCCUGUUGUUGUUCACAUGAGUAUAAGUGUGAACUUAACGGACAGCUACGGUUGCCAAAUGCUGUGGUCCUAAACUAACAUUUGCUUAAAACUUGGUAAACAUGAUCGUUAUUUACUUUACUGCAUGCAGUUAAGAGCGGCCUGCAGUUGAAGCAGACAACAAUUAAUAAUUGUAAAAUACUUUUUUGUAUCAAAUAUGAUAUUUGAUGUUUGGUGAAGUGUUGUUCGAUUUUUAUAAUAAUUGUGCCAAUAUUUAGAUUAUCUGUGGUCCCAUGACCAACCGAAUCAAAAUGCUGAUUAAACUUCAGGCCUCGGCCUCGUGUGUUUUUCAAGCGUCUUUUUUUUAAUAUUUAUAGAAUGUUUCAUUAGCGUUUUUUUAAGUUUUCAUAAAAAAUACACAAUUUUGAAUUUGUUCCGGCACUAGGACCUUCAUUCUUUUGGGUACCACACGCAAAGAGAAAAUACCCUGUAUAUACACAGUGUAGCGAGUAACUCGCGCUUGAUUGAUUUUUAUUAUAAAUUUAUGUUCAUUGUUUUAUAGGCACUUUCCGUACACAUUUAUGUUCUGAAUAAUGAGUAGUCUAUGUGUAUGUGUUAAUGUAGCUGUCUGAACAUUUGUGUUUGAAACUCAAGUUUGAAUACGAAG